CAAAUCUUUUCACCUCCAUAGACAGACAGAGCUGCUGGUCACACAGCACAAGGCAUUGCUUGUGGCGUAUACAAGGGAAUGUAGACGCCGAAAUACCAACAGCGGAAUCCCGACACCCGUCAGAACACCGACGCCGGAUUCCAGAACAAGUCGGGACCCAACGUCCGGAAUACCGAAGAUUUGUAUGAGCCAAUCCGAAUUGAUUAGGAGGCAGCUUUUAGUUUCACAUGAAUAUUCCUUUUGACAGGAAGUUGGUCUCUUCCCAUUUUGGAAUCCCUGGUGGAUAAGUACAAUGUGCUAUUGAAAAUCUUUGACUGCAUUUCUUAAAUUUUUUUAUUUUUUAUUUAUUUAUUAAAUUUUUAUACUGUGAUCUCUUUCUGCUUCUCUCAUAGAGAUAUAUUUAUUAACCACUAUUUGCAGGAUAUCCCACAAAAAUAUAAAUUAAGGAUAUCCCGGAUUUAACAUGGAUCAAACAAAAGUUUCCCACUGCAAAAUUUACCACGUUCCAGAAUUCAAAGCAAAACCUUCUUGACAAGACCUCCAGGGUCCGCUGUUUACAGCUGAAGGCCAAUCCAAGAACAGGCUCUUAUCAGAGCCCAACUUCCCACAAGAGCUUGAUGCUAAAGUCACAUAAAAUGUACAUUUCCAUAUUGCAAAUAUAGACGUAACAUUUUUUAUCA